rnacentral:rRNA from 1 species
GAUGAACGCUAGCGAUAGGCUUAACACAUGCAAGUCGAGGGGCAGCAUAGAAGUAGCAACACUUUGGUGGCGACCGGCGCACGGGUGAGUAACACGUAUGCAACCUGCCCAUAACUGGGGAAUAACCCGUCGAAAGGCGGACUAAUACCGCAUAAUAACAGUGCUCUGCAUGGAGUGUUGGUUAAAGAUUUAUCGGUUAUGGAUGGGAAUGCGUUCCAUUAGGUAGUUGGUAGGGUAAUGGCCUACCAAGCCUACGAUGGAGAGGGGUUCUGAGAGGAAGGUCCCCCACACUGGUACUGAGACACGGACCAGACUCCUACGGGAGGCAGCAGUGAGGAAUAUUGGUCAAUGGGCGAGAGCCUGAACCAGCCAAAUCGCGUGAAGGAUGAAGGUAUUAUGUAUUGUAAACUUCUUUUGUCAGGGAAUAAAGUGCACCACGUGUGGUGUUUUGCAAGUACCUGAAGAAUAAGGAUCUGCUAACUCCGUGCCAGCAGCCGCCGUAAGAC